rfam:TPA: Bos taurus chromosome 13, whole genome shotgun sequence.
UCCCCAAUAACUCAGUUGGUAAAGAAUCUGCCUGCAAUGCAGGAGACCCUGGUUUGAUUCCUGGGUUAGGAA